UACAGAGGUCCCAAGCGUUGUUCGGAUUCACUGGGCGUAAAGGGUGCGUAGGCGGUCGGGUAAGUCUGAUGUGAAAUCUCACAGCUUAACUGUGAAACUGCAUUGGAUACUAUCCGGCUCGAGGAAUGGAGGGGAGACUGGAAUACUUGGUGUAGCAGUGAAAUGCGUAGAUAUCAGGAGGAACACCUGUGGUGUAGACAGCUUACUGGACCAUUACUGACACUGAGACACGAAAGCGUGGGUAGGCAAACAGG
rnacentral:rRNA from 1 species